GCACUAGUGGUGUAGCGGUAACAUACUUCCCUUCCAUUAUCAUUUCUGAUAGGAAGUGCUCUGGGUUCGACUCCCAGCUAGUGCA